rnacentral:rRNA from 1 species
AGACCCGAAACCCGGUGAUCUAGCCAUGGGCAGGUUGAAGGUUGGGUAACACUAACUGGAGGACCGAACCGACUAAUGUUGAAAAAUUAGCGGAUGACCUGUGGCUGGGGGUGAAAGGCCAAUCAAACCGGGAGAUAGCUGGUUCUCCCCGAAAGCUAUUUAGGUAGCGCCUCGUGAAUUCAUCUCCGGGGGUAGAGCACUGUUUCGGCCAGGGGGCCAUCCCGGCUUACCAACCCGAUGCAAACUGCGAAUACCGGAGAAUGUUAUCACGGGAGACACACGGCGGGUGCUAACGUCCGUCGUGAAGAGGGAAACAACCCAGACCGCCAGCUAAGGUCCCAAAGUCAUGGUUAAGUGGGAAACGAUGUGGGAAGGCCCAGACAGCCAGGAUGUUGGCUUAGAAGCAGCCAUCAUUUAAAGAAAGCGUAAUAGCUCACUGGUCGAGUCGGCCUGCGCGGAAGAUGUAACGGGGCUAAACCAUGCACCGAAGCUGCGGCAGCGAACGUAUCACUUAAAGCGAUUCAGCGGAUGACGAUUGACGGAGCGAAGCGACGUCAAAGCGUUUUACAACGUCGAGUCGGUUUAAGGAUACGUUCGUUGGGUAGGGGAGCGUUCUGUAAGCCUGCGAAGGUGGCCUGUGAGGGUUGCUGGAGGUAUCAGAAGUGCGA